GGAAACCGGAGCUAGUACCGGAUAAUAUUUUGAACCGCAUGGUUCAAAAGUGAAAGACGGUCUUGCUGUCACUUAUAGAUGGAUCCGCGCUGCAUUAGCUAGUUGGUAAGGUAACGGCUUACCAAGGCAACGAUGCAUAGCCGACCUGAGAGGGUGAUCGGCCACACUGGAACUGAGACACGGUCCAG
rnacentral:rRNA from 1 species